UAGAGUUUGAUCCUGGCUCAGAUUGAACGCUGGCGGCAUGCCUUACACAUGCAAGUCGAACGGCAGCACGGGUGCUUGCACCUGGUGGCGAGUGGCGAACGGGUGAGUAAUACNNCGGAACAUGUCCAGUAGUGGGGGAUAGCCCGGCGAAAGCCGGAUUAAUACCGCAUACGAUCUACGGAUGAAAGCGGGGGAUCUUCGGACCUCGCGCUAUUGGGGUGGCCGAUGGCGGAUUAGCUAAUUGGUGGGGUAAAGGCCCACCAAGGCGACGAUCCGUAGCUGGUCUGAGAGGACGACCAGCCACACUGGGACUGAGACACGGCCCAGACUCCUACGGGAGGCAGCAGUGGGGAAUUUUGGACAAUGGGCGAAAGCCUGAUCCAGCAAUGCCGCGUGUGUGAAGAAGGCCUUCGGGUUGUAAAGCACUUUUGUCCGGAAAGAAAUCCUUGAUCCUAAUAUGGUCGGGGGAUGACGGUACCGGAAGAAUAAGCACCGGCUAACUACGUGCCAGCAGCCGCGGUAAUACGUAGGGUGCAAGCGUUAAUCGGAAUUACUGGGCGUAAAGCGUGCGCAGGCGGUGAUGCAAGACCGAUGUGAAAUCCCCGGGCUUAACCUGGGAACUGCAUUGGUGACUGCAUCGCUAGAGUAUGGCAGAGGGGGGUAGAAUUCCACGUGUAGCAGUGAAAUGCGUAGAGAUGUGGAGGAAUACCGAUGGCGAAGGCAGCCCCCUGGGUCAAUACUGACGCUCAUGCACGAA
rnacentral:rRNA from 1 species